GGGGAAUUUUCCGCAAUGGGCGCAAGCCUGACGGAGCAACGCCGCGUGAGGGAUGAAGGCCUCUGGGCUGUAAACCUCUUUUCUCAAGGAAGAAGAUCUGACGGUACUUGAGGAAUAAGCCACGGCUAAUUCCGUGCCAGCAGCCGCGGUAAUACGGGAGUGGCAAGCGUUAUCCGGAAUUAUUGGGCGUAAAGCGUCCGCAGGCGGCCUUGAAAGUCUGUUGUUAAAGCGUGGAGCUUAACUCCAUNNNNGCAAUGGAAACUACAAGGNNAGAGUGUGGUAGGAGCAGAGGGGAUUCCCGGUGUAGCGGUGAAAUGCGUAGAUAUCGGGAAGAACACCAGUGGCGAAGGCGCUCUGCUGGGCCAUAACUGACGCUCAUGGACGAAAGCCAGGGGAGCGAAAGGGAUUAGAUACCCCUGUAGUC
rnacentral:rRNA from 1 species